CAGCUUCAACAACACACUCUUGUGUCACUUCCAACAACAUAAGAACCAUCAACAAGGAUGUGAAUCCAGACAUUCCGAGUAAUUCUGCUGAUCAUCAAGAAAAUCAUGAUGAGAAUCAGCUUCAACAGUGCACUCGCACAUCUAUUCAAGCCACAUAAGAACCAUCAACUUGGAUGUAAAUGAAGACAUUGUUCUUAGUACUUCAGCUGAUCAUCAAAAUGAUGAGAACAUUCGACCAGAGAAACAUCUCAAGGACAAUGCUCCAAAGAGUCCCUUGACAGCUAAUGUGAAAAGACAAAGCAAAAGAAUAUCAGCAGUAUCCUUGAAGAGCUGGAGGAUUGUCCAGUUGAAGAUGAGAAAGAGGUCAAGAACCGGUGUAUAAUGGCAUGUUUGCCUUAUGUGUUAGAUGACCAAUGCACCCAUCGAGAUAUGAACAAAAAGCUAUUUUGGGACAUUGUUGAUGGUAAAAGCUUGGGGGAAGUUCAAGAGAUCAUUAA